AUACGUAGGUGGCAAGCGUUGUCCGGAAUUACUGGGUGUAAAGGGCGUGUAGGCGGAGCAGCAAGUCAGAAGUGAAAUCUCCGGGCUUAACCCGGAAACUGCUUUUGAAACUGUUGCCCUUGAGUAUCGGAGAGGCAGGCGGAAUUCCUAGUGUAGCGGUGAAAUGCGUAGAUAUUAGGAGGAACACCAGUGGCGAAGGCGGCCUGCUGGACGAAAACUGACUCUGAGGCGCGAAAGCGUGGGGAGCAAACAGGAUUAGAUACCCUGGUAGUCCACGCCGUAAACGAUGGAUACUAGGUGUGGGGGGACUGACCCCCUCCGUGCCGCAGUCAACACAAUAAGUAUCCCACCUGGGGAGUACGAUCGCAAGAUUGAAACUCAAAUGAAUUGACGGGG
rnacentral:rRNA from 1 species